rnacentral:rRNA from 1 species
GUGGCUCUGCUCUCUCUACUCUUGUAUGAAUGAAGAAGGACUUCUGAUCGGAAACUCUGCUGCCCUAUAACAUCUCGAGUGAGAGUAAUUGUUUUUUCCAUGACUGUAUCUAACCAUUUAGUCACGGUUAACUACGUGCCAUCAGCCGCGGCAAUACGUAGGUGGCAAUCGUUGUCCGGAUUUAUUGGGCGUAAAGGGAACGCAGGCGGUCUUUUAAGUCUGAUGUGAAAGCCUUCGGCUUAACCGGAGUAGUGCAUUGGAAACUGGAAGACUUGAGUGCAGAAGAGGAGAGUGGAACUCCAUGUGUAGCGGUGAAAUGCGUAGAUAUAUGGAAGAACACCAGUGGCGAAAGCGGCUCUCUGGUCUGUAACUGACGCUGAGGUUCGAAAGCGUGGGUAGCAAACAGGAUUAGAUACCCUAGUAGUCAA